AGGAGGGGCCGGGCCUCGGGCGGCGGUCAGCGCCCCCCGCCCGCCCCCUGCGGACCAGACUCUGCCUUUUAAAGGGCCUCCGCGGGCGCCGGAACCCUCCGCGGACCCGGAGCGAGGGGAGGUGCGCGAGGGCGCCCAGUGCUGCGGCAAGCGGGUCUCCCCGGGAGCUCCGAAGACACCGCCCCGGGGCGGAGACGAAGACGCGGUCCUCCCGGGACAAGAGACCAGCCUGAGAAAGGAUCCCACUCACACCGCUUCCCCAAAUUAUGUCAGAGGCUAUAAAGGAUGCCACAGCCCUAUGCUGCCCUGGAGGCCAGGGCACUGCCCUGCAAGGUUUCUCAGGCACCGAAGGCUGAGCUGAGUGGAGAGAGGAGUCCUGGACGCCCUGUUGAGAAAGACAGACUGGGGGCUGCAGCAGCUGAAGAUAACAAGAGAGAAGCAGAUAUCCAAACCCUGGUCUUCCUGCACUAAAGCCCUCAGCUGAUACAUCGAACAGCGUCCCAGAAAAAGCACCAAGCACUGCACAAAUGGAAAGCAUUUUGUCAAAAUUAUGAUUAUAAACUCAUGCCCGAUUCGUGAAUUACAAAAACAAAACAUAAACAGCACAGCCUGAGUUGUUAAAGCGACUUUUUUCUAAAAGCUCAACGUGCUUUCA